ensembl:lncRNA
CUCUUUUACAAUCUCUUCCAUGUUGGUAAGCACCAGGUCCAGCAACGCUUCACCUCUUGUUGGUCUGUCCAUUACCUAAACCAGAAAGAUAUUGUCAGUGGACUCCAAGAGUCUCCUGGGUCACUUGCAGAUCACAAUGUUGUUUUCUAGCAGAUAUCUGAGUGGUUGAAAUCUCCCAUCCAGAUGAGAACCCGUGAGCACAAUGCCUCUUGCAGCUGAAGCAAGAAGGCCUUGUCAACAGCUCCCCUUGAUCAGGCAGCUUGGAGUAGACCCUGACCACCAGAUGCCCUUUACUGGCCCUGUCCCUAAUCUUAACCCACAAGCUCUUAACCUGUUCCUGACUGUUUCUCAGGGGCAGCUCUCAGCAGAUUAUCCACUUCUUAACAAGAAGAGGGCCACUCCCCCACCUCUCCAAUUUGCCUAUCCCUUCUAAAAAGUUUACAGCCCUCAAUCAUGGUAUUCCUCUUGUGAGUCAUCCCACCGUGUUUCCAUGAUAGCAAUAAGAUUGUAGUUUUCCAAUUGCACCACAGUUUCCAAUUCCUCCUGCUUACUUCCCAUGAUGUGUGCAUUGGUACAGAGGCAUUUCAGCUGAAAGUGCCAAAGGUCACAUCUCUGUUUGCCUUGGACCCUUUAUAGAUACAGAUAUAAAACCAGAUAAAUAUGACUGUUUGGAGCUAAAUGCGUGUGCUGCAAGAGUGUGUUAUUAAUGAGAAAAAAGCCUGAAGGCACAGUGACUCCUAGCUCAUGGCCAGCAGACCAUUGCUGUUGUUCUGGGGAAGCAAAUGGGAAAAGCAGAGCCAGCCAAGGAGCAGACAGCCUACACAGGGAUGGAUUUUGCUCCUGGCCCUUUCUCAGGCAAGGCGAGAGCUUUUCCUGAGUGCAACCCACAAGACUGGAUCCACAGCUCCUCCGCCUGCAGCACUUCAAGACUUCCAGGUUGGAGACAAUGCGUCUGGAAAUUUGGGGCACUUCAGACUGGCCUUUGAUCACCAGAGAUCAAGAGUAUUUCCACCCAUACAAGAUGCAAACAUGAUCUCUGCUGUUGUGACACAAGCUGGGGUGAGCUGUCCUUCCAGCUCCUUCUGCAAAAGUGCCAAGAGCAUGACAAGUGGGGUCCAACAUACUGGUUUUGGCCAGCUCUCCCCAAAGCCAACAGGAGCCUUGAGUCAGGCCACAGGAGCUUCCAAUGACUCAAAGAGCAAUCAUUGGAUGAUAUAUCAAACUCCAACUGCUAGAUAAAGAAGAGAAAUCGGAGUGCCUGCAAGGAUACCAGCUAUUGUUGUAUCAUCAUAGCUCUUCUGUAACAUUUUCUUCUCAUGAGGUGAUAUGAAGUGCAUGGAGAGGAGUAAGUUAUAAAGUUGUACUAAUGUGAUUGUUUGGGAUGUUAAAACAAAGUCAACAAUUCCUUUACAAACCAUCCCAGCUUCUGGGCAGAUAUCCCUGGAAGCUUCAGGAGUCCUCUUUGAUCCUGGCUGCCCCAUAAAGAAACAUCGUUUAUACUGAAUUAAUUAGCUGCCACUUAACCCUGGCGCCAAGAGUUGAUGUCAUGAGGCAAAACAAAAUGGAGCUAAUGAAAUCAAUAACAUCAUUAAAAUAACUCACAGCAGAGUUACUGACUGCCGUGCCGACUGUGCUUAUGGACCAAUUGCUCAGCACGUAAAGGGACUUCUGCAAGAACAUGUUCAAGCUAUGAAUGGCAGCCAGCAGCCAACUUGACAUCACUCUGCUCAGGUGAGCUUUUCCAGGACUGCACAGGGAGGUUGCAUGGGCACAGCCUUGGCCUGGAAGUGUCAGAUUGGUUUGGACAGAUGGCAGUAAGGAGUAGAGGGCAAGGUGCUCCCAAAGCAAAUUUCUGAGUGGGAGUUUUAAGCAGGAAGGUACAUUUAGGUAGAGCUUUUCUACUAUUAAUGAAGCUAGAGUAAGACAUUACUAGGAACAAUGCACACCAUGCACAGGAACAAGCUGACCUGGAAAGAUUAAUCUGUCCCUGAAGGCCUGAAGCAUCUUGGUUGGCUGCUGAGAAGCUGAAGCCCUGAUCAACAGUGCUUAAAGAGCAUGGACCACAGUGAGCUCUGGCUCAGUGAGAACUUCUUGAUGCUGUGCUUGCAGGCCUGAGCCCCCAUCAUUGGAAACACACUGUAAUGUCAAUGCUUAAUUGAAUGAAAGAUCUAACUGCAUGCUUCUUACACAGAAUUUCCAAAUGUUUGCAAAGUCUAAGCCCCCUCACUGUGCAAAGAUAUAAUAGAUACCGUCAAAAAGUCUUAAGACAGACAAACAGCAAUGCCUUGUCUCUUCUCUUUGCCACAUUAGACUUCUGCACUUCAUCACAUCAAGUCUGCAGCAGAUGUUUCCCUGGCUGCCCACAGACCUCGCACUCAGUGCAAGAAAGGGAAACUCCAUCUCAGUUGAAGUGAAACACAAAGAGGGAACUCUGGUAGUCCUCAGCAAUCCCAUCUGAAUCCUAUCUCAAGUCCAGAGCUCAUCCACUUCCCCUCCCAUAAAGGACAUAAAAAGAAACCAAACAAGAAGAGCAGCCAGUAGAAACUAUCACAUGUUUGGGGAAAGCUCGCAGGACAAAUAUUUCAAACCAGAACUGCCUGAGAUGACCUUACAAGCAAAAUAGACAACACCUACGUAUUGCGAUGGAAAUGACAAAGCAGGGAAAUUGUUGCAAACGCAGCACAAAUGGACACUAGCUGCAGAUUACACAGAUUAGCAGAGCAUUACAAAUUGUACAAAGGAAACGCUCAAUUUUUCUUUUCAGUAUUAAUAAAAGACACCUGAAAUCAGCAGUACCAAUGAUUCCCUUUGUGAAUCUCAGGCAAUAUGUUGGACAGCCACAUGUUUCUCGCUGGCAUCAAGCAGCCUUGCUUUUACUGCAAGAGAAGUAAGAAAUUCCACCAACGUCAGGGGCACCACGCAGCCGUCUCUCUGUACUCAUUCCUGAAAUGAUCUGAAAUCUAACAGAAGGCAUUUUAUUGACAGCUAUCGUGCCUAUUAGCUUUCAUAUGUUUUCAGGACUUCUCAGAAGGAGCUGGUUCAGGACCUCUUCCAGAGGGACCUGUUCAUCAGCCCACCCCAAGUGACCAUUGGAGGCUGUGCAGUGAUGCUCACUUCCAGGGCUGUAGUCCCCUGGGCAUGAGGCUACCUAUGGCCUAGAGCUUGGGCAGGAAAGCCAGGACAGGCAACCAGGAGGCAGCUCAUAGGCUGGCAGCCUCCACAGCUGCUUGUGCUGCUUGGGGCCUCGUGACUGUCUGUGUGCCAUCCUCAAGCGAGAGUCUGGAGAGUGGGGCGAUGCACCCUGUGGUAAUUUCUGCAGUGUUGCAGGCCAGGAAGCACCAGCAGAAGAGAUGUUAUGACAGUGCAAACAGUUACCUCCGCUGCAGGCAUGAUAGGAAGUGACAAUGCAAACAGAAAUGUAACCUGUCAAGGCCACAGCUACAUGCUUGGGUAGACGAGCUUGUCGUUUAACCAAGAGCAGUGCCACAGCUCCCUGCUUCCCAGUGCUUGAAGGCAUCUGCACACAAGAAAGCCACCCCAAAGCUCCGACCUUUCCAUAUGAGUAAGGCUAAAGGACAAUGCUUCUGCUUCCUGGCAUCAGUCUGUGUGUGUGCGUGUCAGCACUAAUUACAGCCAGCAGGAUGGUGAUUUUCAGAUGUAAAAGCUUUCAAUGCCAGCACGGGCCUUGCAGUGCUGCAGUGGAAAAUAUUAAGAGAGGAUUACCAGAAGGCCCAGAAGAAAUAAUAUCACAGCGAAAGGAAAUUAUACUGAGGAGCACAAUGUUUGACUUACAACUGUUGUGGUCUGAAACAUAAAUCCACACGGUACCGAGUGUCUGGAAAACUGAACACCAACUGUAAUGAAAGUAAUCAUUUUGCUAAAGUAUUCUUUACAAAGGGCAACACUUAAAGACAUGUGUUGAUUAAGGUAAAAAUCUAUGGAUGCUGGCCCAGCUCUGGAAGGGCUUCUAAGAUGAGUGCUAGCUCUGUGCACACGAAUGUGGUGUUUGAGGUGGCAAGCCCUGCCAGGGUGAAAUCCCAUGUACCUCUGCCUUUGGAGAGAAGAGGAAAAUGUGCCUUGCUUCUGCUGUGAGACUGACGGAUAAGGAAGUGCUAAGCUUCAUCCUCCCUUCUGCAUGCUGCUGGGGCAUGCAGAUGACAGCAGAACCAGCCAGAAGGUGCAAAUAUCUGAAGCAGAAGGCGGUGGAUUAGAGAUGGUUUUGGAGGCCACUGGGGAGACAAGAAGUGGAAAAUGAAGAAAACAGAAACCAAGUCUGAAGAAAUAACAAAUUCCAGAAAAUGAGAGAAAAAAUCAGGGGAUGAAAAGAAGAUGGAGGAAGGAAGGAAAGAGAUAUCUAGAAAAAGAAGCAUGGAAAGGGUCAAGUCGGAAGCAGCUGAAAGCAGAAACUUCAAAGAAAAAGGCAAUUUAUAUUCAGACUCUUUGGAAACCCUUGUUAUCUAUGACCAACAGGGUCCUGGUACUUACUAGGUAUAGACAUAAAAGGGUUGUAGAAGAGUAAGACAAUGGUUUAAACAUGUACAAGCCAGAGGAAAGGAAAACUCAGCUCCUGAAAGGAAGGGAAAAGAAAGCAAGGGAGGGUCAUUUUAAAAUUGGCUGAAUUAUCUUUUAAUGUUUGGUAAAGCUACACUCUACAGAUGCUAGAAAUUUAAGAGGCACAAAAACUGGGAUUAGUAUAAAAUCCUGUGGACAUGGAGAGCAUUUUGAAGGCAGGAGAUAUAGCUUGUGAGACAGGCACCCCAUGUCCCAGGUGGUGACUGCAACCACCUCUUCUGAAGCCAGGCCUGCUCAAGUAUGGCCAGCAGAGCACCCACGAGGAGCAUGCAUCUGGCAGGCGGCCAUAAAAAACAGAGGACAUCCUACCAGGGCUGACCAGUACUCAUACAGAAUCAAAGCUGGGAUCUAGCCCCUGCCAAUGCCAAGUCUGAACAGGCCAGCUGUGGCCUGGCAAUAGCAGGGCUGCUCCAACCAUGGCAGUCUGUGAACAGAAGUCUGCCACAGACAUGAGAACCAAGCACCUUGUCCCAUCAUUACAAGGGCAGCAUCCCCAGGUGGCCAGGGAUGGUGGAGGAGGACCUUUGAGCUGGGGUGACACUGAGCUCUUUUGUACUGCAUUCACCCCAUCAGCACUGUGAGAGCAGCUGGUGUGGUUGGGUCCACUUGAAGGCAACCUCCAAAUCAAAUGGAGGCAUAAAGACAACACUGAUGACCAUGAAGUCAAACACCAGACCAAAAUACUCGAGUGGUUCAAAUGCACUGAAGCCAUACAAUGGCUGAGCGAUUGAAAUAGAAAAGGAGUAUGUAUGAGUGUGACCAAAGAAGGUAAAAAAAUUAUUUUGAGUGCUGUUUGUUGCAGACAGAGGAAACUCUCUCUGUUAGGCAACUGAGCUAGUUAACAACACAUACAACAUUACAUGUACACUAGGAAGGAGUGUGGUCUGGGCAUUGCCACUGUUUAAGAAAGAGCCCUCUCAUGUAUUUCCCAGGAGCCUGAACGGUUACUUCAUGUGUGAGAACGUCAGGCUGUGACCUGCAGGAAAAGAGAGGGCAUGAGGGAGCCAGAUGGCUGAGUGACCCCAGUGCUGUUCCCAGAAGAAGCAGGAGCAGGCAAGGAAAAAUCUGGUGGCUGGAAGGAAAAGUGAGCCCUAGGCAGGUCCCUCCAUGCUCUGGGUCUCUACUGUUCCCUCUCCCACCAGCCCCCUUUUCUCCUCUGAGCCAGCUUCUCAUCAUACCAGACUGCCCAACUCCCACUCCCCCACCAUCUCAUCCACCACAGCUGCAAUUUUCCAACUCCGGUAAGAAACAGAAGUAUCAGCAUAGCAUAUGCAUGUGCUUGCUGAGGGACGGGAGCAGAAACCUUCCCACCUCUUAGUAGUGUCUCCAGCUGCUGCCUUGCUCUGCCUUCCCAAUCUGCCACAUUCUUUAUGUCCCACGUGGCUGCUUUGGCACAGCUCAAGUGAGUGUGGGGAGCAGCAGUGGCCUGUGGUGGCCAUGGUGACUCAUACUGGCUCUCCAGCCAAGACAGACAGGGGAUACCCCAUAAGCAGAUGCUGGUGACCCCAGCAUGUGAGUGCUACUCUGGCCACCACCACUGCCAUGAAGCCUCUAUGUCUGUCUUACACACAGGUACUGUACAUGACUGAUGUAAUGCACAGGGUCUCAUGCAGUGAUGAGUUUUCCCACACAGGCACUCCCCUCCAUCUCUCUACUGAGCAGGAGGCCAGUUUCUAAUGUCUGCCCUUCACUUCAAAUCCUUGGUUUAUGAAACUGGAGGAAAACCCUGAGACAGCAGGUUGAGACUGACACCAGGGAGAGAGUUAACUCAUUUCCACGGCUGGUAAUUCUCCCCACCAGCCCACGCAGCAUCAGAGCAGCUCCGUAAGCCUCAGCAUAGACUCUUGGCCUGUUCUACAGGUGGUGGAAACUUGUAGUAUAUGGUGUAAAAUGCCUACAGGAAGGUGUUUGUGACAGGGCCAAUGGCUAGUGCAUAUACCUGCCCCAAGGCAGGUUCUGUUGUUGUUCCACCACUGCAGAAAUGAUGUAACACUGGUUUUAUUACAGUGCUGGAAUCCGGCAGUGUUUUGCACCUGGAAGGCUGCAUCUGACACCCACCUGUGAGGCAUCAGUCCAUGAAGACUGGGGCUCUGCUUUGGUUUUGCGGUCACUGCUGCUAAUGCGAGAAAACGGACAGGGCAAAAAACAGGAGAUAAAAGGCAGUCAAAGCACUGCUGAAAAAAUACCAGAUAGUUGUAACUCUUAGGACUAACCUUCGGUGUCAGAGGAGUCAAUGCCUCUAUUUUGAAAGGAUGAGCCAUUUUGCGGGUAUAACAGCAAUGCACUUCAUAAUCCCUUCCAUAUUUGGCUUUAUUGGCUUAUUGUGCAGAGCUAUUAGAAUCAGGAUCAUCUCUUAUGAAGCUGUUAAUGGGAUGCAAAUUGCAUGAAAGAUUUCUCCGCAUCAAUAGAAAACAACCUAGUAAUAAGUUAUUGCAUAAAAAUCUGCAUAAAAAUCUGCUACAAAAGAAAUACUUCUAAAGAAGCAAAAAAUCCUGCGUGACUGAGGAGGAAAUAUGCUUUACAAAGUGCAAAUGAGUACUGGUUUUAGAGGUAAAGGUGACCUACCUCAGAGCUGCUCAUAUCCCAAAGAACAGCUGUGCCCUAGCUACCCAUGUAUAGUGAAACAGUGCUUCACACAACAUCAUGGCUACGGCCAGGUAAAAAACAGUGUGAUGAAUGUUUUAAGCACUGAUAGAUGCAAGUUCAGGCUGACCAAACCUGCAUCUGUGCUGAAUUCAGCAAGGAGCUGUGGCCAAAAUAUGUACAUUUGAAUAAAAUGAAAAGUCUAAUCAGCUCUCUGUAUGUGAUGCACUCCUACUUUUCAUGCUGACACGAUGUUUUGAGACUAGAAUUGGACUUACAGUGAGCUAGAAACACCUAAAACCAGCAUUAAGUGCUGAUCAGUAAGUCAAGAGAAAUAUUGUGCUGAGUCUGUCACAUCGCUUUGCUGUUUGUUUUUCCUUUUUGGUGUUGACAUCAAUGUGACUGUGAUUUCAGCUGUGGUUUCCAGAGAGCACUGCAGCGUGCCUGCGGCUGGAAGGAGCCUUUUGCUGCCAUUCAGCCCAUGCCACCUAGCACAACCACGGGGCACUACUGCUUCUCCCACGUGGCGUACACCCCGCUCCCCCGAGCAUCAGAGCCUCCAGCACAUCACACACCAUCACUCUCCCACAUUAUGCCACAGAAAUGCUCUUUGGUCUCCUGUUUAACGUCCAGCACCAAAGCAGUGGGAAAUACCAGACCACGCAGUACCCGGUGACCUGUCCCAGUAGAACUGAGCUGCCCUGGGUACACCUGCUCUGCAAAACCUAGAGGACAGAAGAGAAAAGCCACAUUUCUGGGAUUCCUUCUUCCACCCAAAUUCCCUACGUGCAACAGGAGCCAGGGGACUGCAGCCUGGGAUGCUGCUCUGUCUCAAGCCCAAGGGGCCAGGCUUUUCCUGAAAUAACAUCCACCUCUUGCUUUGCCGCCUGCUGGGCUCAGCUGAUGCACAUGGAGGAGCCUAAAUAAAGAAACACAGAGCUCAGAGCCCAGGCUUUUCCUCUCCGCUAUCUGCAUUCUUUUGCAUUCAUUAAAAAACAAACAAACCUGUUUCCUGAUAGCAGGGAGGAAAAUCACAGGGCCGCGUUUUGUUUUUCUUUCACUUGCAAUGGCUCAGAUAUUCGAGGGAGAAGCACCUCUAUGGGAUCUACGCAUGGAGAUGAGAGUGGCUGGUAACAGACAUCAGAACAAGCAACAAAUGUCUCCAUCCCUCAGGGAUGGGAGGAGGGAGAGGGAUGGGAAAAAGCAAAAAAGCGUGGGCAUUGCUCUAUCAACCAGAUGCCAGAGGGGGAACUGGCCUAUUCCCAGUCUUGCUCAGAGAUCUGCCAGGGGUGGCAUCGAUCGGAAGGGUGGAGGAACGCGGCCUCGUAUUUUUGCAGCGAGGAUUGGCUCUCUGAAGGAGAGCUAAAAGAAACAGCAGCUUCCCAACGAGCACAGAAAUUGAGAGAAAACGUUAGAAAACGUCUCCAGAUUACAGGGGUAUAAAGAUAGCCCUGGAAGCGGCCGCGCUCCUUGGCGCAGAGUCGCCAGUGCCGGGAAGUGCCUCACAUCCUGUUCUUUGUAUUGUUCUCCCAACUUGUCUGGUGGCUGGGAAAGUUUCUUCCAGCAAUUUACCCCGUCCUCACCCUGCAGCUGGCCGGCCUGCUGCUAUUGAUUCACUUCCCCAGGCAUUUCUCUUACUGUCAUGCUCUUGUGGCACCAAAGCACUCAGUGCCCAGCGCUGCUCCAUUAUAUAUAAGGCUGCUUUCUCUGCCUCUCAGCACAAAAUCAAACUCACAGCACAAAGAGCCGUGGGUUUAGAUAUAUAAUUGGAUCAAAUUGUGUGUAAUGACCUUGUCUGGUCUAUUGUGCCUUUGUUUUCCAUUGCAGCUUGCACCAGAGCAGGUACCAUGUUUACAUUGCAGUCAGGGUGACCUGACUCCCAGCCAUCCUGGAUUCAUUCUUUGGCUAAUGGAAAGAGUUUCUUUGCUCUGGAAAGAGUGGGUCCUUUGGACAGGGCUGAUGUUCAGCCUCAGCUUGGCCAUGCCAGCAUUGAACAACUCUUCUGGCUGCAUGCUCUGUGCUCAGCCCCACAAAACAAGGCUGCAGAGAGCUGUGGAUGAUUGCUCAUGUAUUGAGAUGAGUACGGGUGAUGGGUUGGUGGGCCGGCAGGUUCACAGAGUGGUAUGCAAGCACAGAGCUUGAACCCCAAGGUUACAAUUAAAUCUCACCUGAGGCUGGCUGCAUAAGUAAAGCAAGUCAUGUUUAACUGCAGGAAAGAACAUCAUGUAACAGAAAUCUAAUUGUGUUGAACAGUACCCAAUAUAAAGGUUAUGGCUUAUGGAUUAACAGCAGGAACUUACGCUAUGAACUGGGAACUCGUCUGGAACCAGCAGAAGAGGAAAAGAGCACACUGGUGAUUAAUGAUUUGGGGUGCCCAUGGGAUGCAGUUACGGCAAUACAAGCAUGCUCCCAGGAUGCACUGGAAAGUACGUCCAGCAGAAGUGAAAUACCAAAGCCAUAGCAUGGAUCACUGGCACGUAGUGGAACUGGCCCGUGUGAUGUGACAGACAUCUCCAGGAAGCAGCCUCAGGGAUGUUCACAUGCACAGGAACAUGCUGGGACACUGAGGGCCGUGGGUGGCCUCCCAGCGGGCCAGCAACACAUCACCCUUUUGUCAUCAUGUAACGAAGAGAGCUACCUGAGCUGAAUCACAGUUUUCUGUGUGUCACAAGAGAAGCUGGACUUGCUCACAGCUGCGAUGCAAACGGGUUCUCUUGAGCAGAGAAGUUCUGAUGCAGCCCAACAGUCAGAGCGCAGGUACAAAAUCCAUAGCAAGCUUCAUGACAGUCAGGUCAGGCCAGGACAAGAGCACUGUGAGGCAGUGUGUGGUGGGAGAAGCCAUCCUCCUCCUGUGAGACUAGGGAAAAAAAACAGAACCUGAAUGGAAAAUGUGCAUAGCCAUUUGAGCCAGUGAAGAAAAUUUCCCUGCUAAUGUGCCACGGGAACUCUUCAAGCACUAGAAGUAGCCAGCCUUUGAUCUCAUGCCUUUAAUGCACUCCCUAAAAGACACAAUGGCUCCAAAUCCUAUCUUGCAUUAUUGCUUGCUUGGCUUAAAGGCAUGCCGCACUGCCAAGGGCAUCUCCUGAUGGCUACAAGCGAAAAGGAAGAGUGAAAGAAAACAAAUGAUUCCAUGGCAAAGUCCAUCAGGCUCUGUGGUGGGCAGGCAGGGUGCAGGUAGAGCGCAGAGGUGACCUUGUGUGGCACAUUUAAAAACACCAGAUGCCACCACACAUCCCACUGUGCCGGCUUCACGCUCCCUUCUUUGUCACAACCCGACACAUCCCCUACAGCACGAUAGAAACUGUAAGUAAUUUAAAAGCACAACUAAUUACCUCAGAGAGCUGUUUAAGUACCCAAACCUACAGCAGCCGCAGGACACUUCCCAACGCUACAGGCAUCCAGAAGUGUAAUUCAGAGCAAACCGUCUCACUGGAGGAGGCCCGUGAGUGCACGGCGCCAAGGGAACCCGCACAUUUAGGAUUUGCAAGGAGCCUGCAUCUACAAAGAGCAGAAAGCCAGUUGCUUCCUCAGCCUCCUGAUAACCCAAGGAAGAAGCCACAUCUGCGCAGCUUUUUUUAAGUGUCUCGAGUGCUCCAUUUUGCAGGAGCUGGGAGGCAGCAGGGAGAGGCGGGAGCCGGGGGCCGUGAGAGAGGCAUGGCGGCCAGCACAGCCUGCAGUGCCUCCUGCCAGCAGCCCCUGCACGGGGAGGUCAGCGCCAGCAGUCCCCACAAUCAGAGUCUUGUGUCAGACGUGUGAGAAAACUCUCCCUUUCCUGUCGCACGCUGCCGCCACCACAGCUGCGGGCCCCCUCGGACCUGAAUAAACAGAGCCGCGCUGCUGCCAAGGAGCAUCCAGAUGUGCGCGGGGUGACUCAGGAUUUACUGGCACUUCAUAUGUGAGAUCAGAUUGGGGCCAGGACAGUGCUGUUUGGUAAAUUAGCUUUUUACAACCUAAUUUCCUUACUUUAGCUCUUUUUUUCCCCCAGCAUCUUGAAAGGAAAGAAAAAAAGUGAUCCAAGAUGCCAGCGUCUCAGACCAUUUUAAAGGGCCUCUGUGAGGUGUCUGCUCUCUCAGUCGCCUUCCUCACUGCAAAACUUCCCCAGCACUGUGAUUUAAUACACACACCACAACAAGCUGGCAGUUAUACCGGUAUUCAUGCAAGGUGACUGCGAAGAUGCUGCCCUGCAAGCAGAAUAAGGUCCUCUUUAGCAAAGAGGUCUGUGUGCAAGCUCGGAGACGAGCAGUAACGAUGCGGCUUUUCCAGGGGACUGCGGAAAUCACAGCACAGCUGGGCUGUGAGCUGUGCUCCUCUGCCAGUGAGAGCCCUCCAGGACCCACAGCGGGACUGGCAGUAUUCACAUGUACCGAGAGGCCCUGGCUAAGCUAUGGAAGGCAGCUUCAGGAGAGCACCGGAGUGUGGCUUUUUGACCGAAGGCACAUUGCAUCUGUCUGGUUUACUGGUCUUCUGAUGAAGACCUAGCUUGGAGGGUUGUGGGAUUCUCCCAUGAAGUGAGAUUUUUAUAGCACAGCCAUAUUUUGCAACAAGCCUCCAGCCUGCCUAGGAUGCCCCUGUCAAGUUCCAUUUUUCAGGCUCUUUGUGCAGAAAUGAUACUUAAUGGAGGAGCCUCGCUGGUGUGUGCUCAGGCAAGGGGGGAAGAAGACGCAACAUGCAAUCCAUAAAUAGAGACACUUUAGAGGCUCUUUAAACAUUCACGCUUUUUGCAUAAUUGAUGACUUUCCAUAAUAGAUAUGGAUGAUAAACAGCCUUAAAUAAAAUGAAAAUUUAUCAGUGUCAUAUCAUUUAUCAGCAUUAUGUUAAAUUGGAAAGUAUGGGGAAAAUAUUACCAUGUACUCAAAUGAAAUCAGUGAAAGGGAGAAUAAUUUGGGGGCUGCAUCAUUGCAUUCAUCAAGGCUUUUAAUGAGACAGCCAACAGCUAAGAAGCUGCACUAAGACACGAGACAGAGGCAGAGUUUGGAGCAUCCGAAUACCAACACUUGGGUUCAAAGAGGGGAAGGGAACGGAUGAAAUGUAAGGUCCAAGCAGACCCUCAGACCUUAAUAUCUGUCAGCACAUUCACCCUGUGGGCUGUACUGUGAAGGGUGAAGAGGGCAGGCUCACCCAUAUCCAUGGUAUGUCACUGCAUAUCCACAGUGGGUCAUCAGGAACGAUCUCUGUGGCUUUGAAGGGUCAAAAGCAAGUCCAUUCUCCAAGUUGGACCACACCAUUCAC